AAAGGAAAGCCGAGCUUGCAUCGCCGGAAUCAAGCUCGCACCGACGAAUCGAUGAGGGUGCACAGUACCGCAUCCAUGGUCGAGCUCGCCACAGCCGCAUCCAUGGCCAAGCUCCCCAGCAGGAUCCAUGGCCGAGCUCGCCGCAGGAAGCGCAGAUGGAGUUAGCAGGCGGCCGGAUCUGCACGAGCUCAGGCCAGCUGCUUGGGCCCUCCC
rnacentral:lncRNA from 1 species